ACAUGUCCUGCACCACCCUAACAUACUUUUCAGCUACACCUGACUUCCUCAUACAGUACCACAGAUUCUGGAGCGGAGUAAAUGUGUGUCCUGCUCUGUUUCUCUGAUUUCAGGUUCCAGCUGUGACCUGCAGGAGACAUGAGCUCCACAAUGAGUUCCUCUGAAGAAGAACAGCACACAGAGAGAGAGAAGAGUGGGAAUCAGACGGAGAAACCAGACUCACCUGAGCCCAGCUGUGUGUCCAUGAGGAGUGAUGACUCAAUGGAGAAAUUAUUAAACUUCAGAGAGGGAGACAGUUCUCCUGCUGUGAGUGGGAAUCAGAUGGAGAAACCAGACCCACCUGAGCCCAGCUGUGUGUCCAUGAGGAGUGAUGACUCAAUGGAGAAAUUAUUAAACUUCAGAGAGGGAGACAGUUCUCCUGCUGUGAGUGUUCAAAAGGAAAAAUCAAAAGUCUCCACCAGGCAUAAUUUGGAUUCCAUAUUUAAGGAUCUGGAGCACAAAAUAAUCUCUCUGGUGAAGAAAGAGCUGAAGAGGUUCAAGAAGCUGCUGAGUGCAGAUUACCCAGCAUGCUCUGAGAGAGAGGUGGAGGCUGAGGAGGAUCAGAGCAGUUCCAGAGAGGAGGUGCUGAAGAUCACACUGAACAUGCUGAGGAACAUGGAGCAGACAGACCUCGCUAACACCCUACAGAGCAAGCCGAUUUCUGCACAUCAGAAAAAAAUACAAAUCAACCUGAAGGAGAAAUAUAUGAGAAUUAAUGAAGGAAUCUCACAGUAUGGAACACCAGUCCUUCUGAAUGAGAUCUACACAGAGCUGUACACCACAGAGGGAGGGAGUGGAGAGGUCAAUGAAGAACAUGAGGUCAGACAGAUUGAGGCAGCAUCCAGGAGACCAGCAACACAGAAGAAACCCAUCAAAUGUAAUGACCUCUUUAAAGACAGACCCAUCAGAACUGUGCUGACUAAAGGAGUUGCUGGAAUUGGAAAAACAGUCUCAGUGCAGAAGUUCAUUCUGGACUGGGCCGAAGGAAAAGCAAACCAGGACAUCCUCUUCAUAUUUCCACUUCCUUUCAGGGAGCUGAACUUGAUCAAGAACAAAAAGCUUAGUCUGAUUGAACUUCUGAAUGACUUUUUACCAGACAGAAAAUUAUUACAAUCAAUAGACUUUGAAUCUUACAAAGUCUUGUUCAUCUUUGAUGGUCUGGAUGAGUGUCGACUUCCUCUAGAUUUCCAGAACAAUGAGAGCCUCUGGGAUGUAACAGAUUCAGCCUCAGUGGAUGUGCUGCUGACAAACCUCAUCAAGGGGAACUUGCUUCCCUCGGCUCUCCUCUGGAUAACCUCUCGACCAGCAGCAGCCAAUCAGAUCCCUCCUGAGUGUGUUGACCUGGUAACAGAGGUACGAGGGUUCAGUGAUGCUCAGAAAGAGGAAUACUUCAGGAAGAGAAUCAGUGACCAGAGCCUGGCCAAUAAAAUCAUCUCACACAUGAGAUCCUCAAGAAGCCUCUACAUCAUGUGCCACAUCCCAGUCUUCUGCUGGAUUGCAGCCACUGUUCUAGAGAGAGUUUUGGGUGGAGCAGAGAGUGGAGAGAUCCCCAAGACUCUGACUCAGAUGUUCACCCACUUCCUGAUCUUUCAGAUCAAACACAAGGACCAAAAGUACCAUAGGAAAUGUGACCCUGAUCUUCAGCAGACCAGAGAGAUGAUUCUGGCCCUGGGAAAACUGGCUUUCCAACAGCUGGAAAAGGGCAAUCUGAUCUUCUAUGAGGAAGACCUGAGAGAGUGUGGCAUUGAUGUCAGAGAAGUGUUAUUGUAUUCAGGAGUUUGUACCCAGAUCUUCAGAGAGGAGUUUGGGCUGCACCUGGGGAAGGUGUUCAGCUUUGUGCACCUGAGUGUUCAGGAGUUUAUGGCUGCUUUAUAUGCAUUUCUCUCCUUCAUCAGUGGAGAAAGAACAAAACAGCUGAACACUGAUCUUUGUGAUAUUUUCCAACAGUCCGAACUGUCAGACUUCCUGAAGUCUGCAUUGGACAAGGCCUUAAAGAGUGAGAAUGGACACCUGGACCUUUUCCUUCAGUUCCUUCUGGGCCUCUCACUGGAGUCCAAUCAGACUGUCUUACGAGGCCUACUAACCCAGACAGGAAGCAGCUCUCACAGCAAAGAGGAAACAGUCCAGUACAUCAAGGAGAAGAUCAGGGCGAAUCCCUCUCCAGAGAAAUCCAUCAAUUUGUUCCACUGUCUGAAUGAACUGAAUGAUCAUUCUCUACAGCAGGAAGUUCAGUCAUACCUGAACAGAGGAGAAUACUUUAGUCUCCGAGGACUCUCCCUCUCUCCUGCCCAGUGGUCAGCUCUGGUGUUUGUGUUGCUGAACUCAGAAAAAGAGCUUGAUGUGUUUGACUUACGUAAAUAUGGCAGGUCAGAGGAAUAUCUUAUGCAGUUGCUGCCAGUGGUCAAAGCAUCAAGAAAAGCUAUGCUUUUUGACUGUAGCCUCACAGAGAAAAGCUGUGAAGCUCUGUCUUCAGUUCUCAGUGCAAACUCCUCAUGUCUGAGAGAACUGGACGUCAGUAGAAACAAACUGCAGGAUUCAGGAGUGGAGCUGCUCUUAGCUGGACUGAAGAAUCCAAACUGCAAACUGGAGAAACUGGAGCUGCACAGGUGUAAUCUCACAGAGAAAAGCUGUGCAGCUCUGUCCUCAGCUCUCAGCUCAAACUCUUCAAGUCUGAGAAAACUGGACCUGAGUCAUAACAAACUGCAGGAUUCCGGAGUGGAGCUGCUCUCUGCUGGACUGGAGAAUCCACACUGUAAACUGGAGAUACUGAAAUUGGAAAGAUGCAGAAUUACAAAGAAGGGCUACACUUAUCUGGCUUCAGGGCUUAAAUCAAACCCCUCUCACUUGAGAGAGCUGAACUUGAACUCUAAUCAACCAGGACAGUCAGGAGUGAGUGUUCUCAUUAAUGUACUGGAGGAUCCACGUUGCAAAUUGGAAAAACUAAACAUGUGUAACUGUAAUCUCACAGAGGAAACCUGUUCAGCUCUGUUGUCAGCUCUCAGCUUCUUAAGUCUGAGAGAACUGAACCUGAGUAACAAUAAACUGCUGCAGGAUUCAGGAGUGGUGCUGCUCUCGACUGCACUAAAGAAACCACACUGUAAAUUGGAGACACUGAAGAUACAUGGUUGUAAUAUCACAGAGAAAGGCUGUGCAGCUCUGUCCUCAGCUCUCAGCUCUUCAAAUCUAAGAGAACUGGACCUGAAUAACAAUAACCUGCAGGAUUCAGGAGUGAAGCUGCUCUCUGCCGGACUGGAGAAUCCACACUGUAAACUGGAGAUACUGGAGUGUUUUCUUCUUUUCUCUGCAGGCUGUGUAAAUGUAAAAUUACAGUUGAGGGCUGUGCUGCUCUGGCUUCAGCUCUAAAAUCAAACCCCUCCUCCCAGCUGAGAAAAAUUAAUCUAAACUGUAAUAAUCCAAGAAAGUCAGGAGUGAAGCUGCUCUCUGAUCUACUGGAGGAUCCAUACUGUAAACUGGAGGAAUUAGACAUCUGAACACCAUCCGCCUGAUCUGCUCUCCCACACAGAGGGCUAUGAGGAGAGGAUGAAGUACAAACGCACGGUGUAUGGUUCUACCUGAGUGUCUGAUUUUGCAUGAAAGUGAAGGAACAAUUGCGACAGGCUCAAAGUGAAAGGUGUACAAAUUUAUUUUCAAUGAAAUGCAAAAUGAGUUUUAAAGUUAUAGACAGAAUUACUGGUUGCAUAAUUAAUUAUACCACAUCAUCACGCCAUCUAAAAUUAGAAACUACCCAUUUCAAGCAUUCCAAAAUGAAAAUGUCAUAUUCAAAGAAAACAUUGCUUUUUAAAGUGUAUCCUAGACAGGGUCGUCGGACCCAUGGUGGAGGGGGGGGCAUUCGCCCCACCGCUUUUCAAAGAACUGUGGCAACGCCCAACUACUGUUUGAGUUCAGUUUGUUCAUGUGCUUUCACUAAACUGUAUGAAGCGCUGAUCAGCGUGAGCAGGCAGAGUAAAACUGAGCGGCAGAGCCAAUCAGAAUCUCUAUUUUAGCUGCGAGAUGCUUUCAGACCUCCAAUAACAUCUGUCUGCAGAGCUGCAGCUUCACUCAAGCAGGCCCAAAGCCAAAGGCAUUCAGAGCAUGUGGCCACACCUGUUUUCAUUGUUAUGUUUUAUGUGGGUUUCCAGUACAUGUGUGAGACAUUUGCAUUGGGCUAAUGUUAUGUUUUAAGUUUUAGGCUAAAACAGACUUUGGUUUGAAUACAUAUAAAGAUUUAUAGGGUAAAUAUUACACAAACUAUAGCUUAUUUAGCCUGGGUAAGCUAAUGGGUUAUGUAGACAUAUGGCUCAAUUUACUUACUCUUGAUAUGGGGGCUUUAUUUGUUCACUUACAUUACAUGCACAGGAAUAAAAGUUUACCUUAAGCAGCUUAAUCUGAGCAUAAUAUUCAUCUUUUGGCUUUAAUAAACCAAUGUUUGAAUGUAAUUUUGAAUGCUGAAAAAAAUAUAGAAACCAUUGUAUUUCUCCUGGUUUCUGACAUUUUUGUAAUGUAUUUUGGCUUUGGGUUUAACCGGUUACCAGUGGUUGAUUCAUAUAUUGGUAACGGUCUCCCUUCCUGAAUGGUAAUGUUCAUAGUGACACAUACAACCAGCACAAACAGUCGCUGUUUACAUCAGAGAUGUUACAAAUGGGGAGACCGGCAACUGGUUGAAAUUUGAAUUGGGACGCUCGCAUGUCCUACUGCGCAUGCUUUCCACUGGCCUGAAGCCGCUGGAGUGAAACUGCGGGUGUAAAUCUGCAGCUCUGACGUCAAAAACCUCUUUUCAGACCUGCCUUGGUUGGUGCGAACCUGUAGAACUGGUUUUGACAUGCGAACACAAAACAACUGAACUGUCCUAAUUCAGGAGGGAAUUCAACACCAGAGCACAUUUUCUCUGUGCUGUCUGCACAACGUUUACUACUGAUUCACCAUUUCAAUUAAAUAACAAAAGACAAGCAAAAAAAUGACAUGCGUUUGAUUGUGGAUUAUGGAGAACAUUUUGGCCAAACAUCAGCAACCAUCAGUAAUUAUUUAGCAGCAUUUAGCCAGCAAAUUAUUUUAUUUAUUUUUUUUUUUUUUGAAACAAUGUUUUGCCCCACAACUCUUGGAGGUGUGGCACCACCCAUGAUCCUAGAUAAUGUUUCUCAACAUCUUAAAACAUUAGAGAGCAUUUCUUCCAAAAAGUGAAAUGCCUACUUAGUAUUUAACAAUUACUAGAGAAAUUCCAGUCCUGCAUAGCCAAAGUACAGACACAGCAUUGGUCCAUGUUAUGAAUGAGCUGAAUAUUGAUUGAUCCGGUAUGUAACAUUACUAUUCAUUCAGGUGUGCUCCCCAUUGUGUUCAGUCUCACUUCUGAAUUAUAUGAAGUUAAUAUCUGAUGCUAAAAUGUGUUAGAUAUCAAACAUUUUUCCACUAUAAUAAUUUAUCUUUUCAAAUAUUUUUUAAAUGAACUUUUUAAAAAUGUAACCCUGUUGUAUUUAAGCCUAAAGUUACUGACUAUGCUUAUAUUUAUAUUUUUGACUGUAACUUGGUGAUGGUUUUCAUUGUUAUCAACUAAGGUAUAUGCACAGAUUCACCACAAUCACAGCUUUAAUAACAAUAAGCCACUUUAUGAAUUCUAUUGAUUAUUAAUUAAUUAAUAAUUCAUAAUUAAUCAAUUAAUAAGACCCUGGUUUUAGUGACCAGUGCACUAUUGGAUGUAUUAGAAAUAUAAUUAUAAUAAAGUCAGGCUGUCAGACGGUGAUUAGAAGUAAUUCUAAACAUUAUUCUUUGAUAUGGGACUCACUUCUGAAAUCCCAGAUUUCGACUUAGACUUAGACAAUUUUAGCAAAACUUUCCUGGUGGUCAUAAACAAGCACGGCAUUUCUAAAACUGUUCGAAUCGGAGAUGGAUCAAAUGCCUGGUCCGGUUCAAUGCAAGAAAUAAAGCAUGGGCCCUCACAACAAGAAAUGGUGACAGAGACCAAUGGCUUGCCUGCAGGCAGCUAGGGAACAAAUAUACUCACUACAUCAGGAAAACUAAAGCAGAAUAUUGUGGAAUAUCCAUUUUUAAUAUUUUAAUGCUAUCACUCUUUGAUUUGUGGUGUAUUACUCUUAUAUUUUAUUGCUGUUAAUCAGUUUACUCUGAAUUAGAUUUCUUUUUUUACUCUUAA